rnacentral:rRNA from 1 species
AUUGAACGCUGGCGGCAGGCCUAACACAUGCAAGUCGGGCGGAUGAAGGGAGCUUGCUCCUGGAUUCAGCGGCGGACGGGUGAGUAAUACCUAGGAAUCUGCCUGGUAGUGGGGGAUAACGUCCGGAAACGGGCGCUAAUACCGCAUACGUCCUGAGGGAGAAAGUGGGGGAUCUUCGGACCUCACGCUAUCAGAUGAGCCUAGGUCGGAUUAGCUAGUUGGUGGGGUAAAGGCCUACCAAGGCGACGAUCCGUAACUGGUCUGAGAGGAUGAUCAGUCACACUGGAACUGAGACACGGUCCAGACUCCUACGGGAGGCAGCAGUGGGGAAUAUUGGACAAUGGGCGAAAGCCUGAUCCAGCCAUGCCGCGUGUGUGAAGAAGGUCUUCGGAUUGUAAAGCACUUUAAGUUGGGAGGAAGGGCAGUAAGUUAAUACCUUGCUGUUUUGACGUUACCAACAGAAUAAGCACCGGCUAACUUCGUG